AUUGAACGCUGGCGGCAGGCCUAACACAUGCAAGUCGAGCGAGCGGCGGACGGGUGAGUAAUGUCUGGGAAACUGCCUGAUGGAGGGGGAUAACUACUGGAAAAGGUAGCUAAUACCGCAUACCAUCAGAUGUGCCCAGAUGGGAGUCGCUAGUAGGUGGGGUAACGGCUCACCUAGGCGACGAACCGUAGCUGGUCUGAGAGGAUGACCAGCCAAACUGUAAAUGAGACACGGUCCAGAUUCCUACGGGAUGCAGCAGUAGGGAAGAUUGCACAAUGGGCGCAAGCCUGAGGAAGCCAUGCCGCGUGUGUGAAGAAGUCCUUCGGGUUGUAAAGCACUUUCAGCGGGGAGGCGUUACCCGCAGAGGAAGCACCGGCUAACUACGUGCCAGCAGCCGCCGUAAUUC
rnacentral:rRNA from 1 species